rnacentral:rRNA from 1 species
UACGAAGGGGGCUAGCGUUGUUCGGAUUUACUGGGCGUAAAGCGCACGUAGGCGGAUCGUUAAGUCGGGGGUGAAAUCCUGGAGCUCAACUCCAGAACUGCCUUCGAUACUGGCGAUCUCGAGUCCGGAAGAGGUGAGUGGAACUCCUAGUGUAGAGGUGGAAUUCGUAGAUAUUAGGAAGAACACCAGUGGCGAAGGCGGCUCACUGGUCCGGUACUGACGCUGAUGUGCGAAAGCGUGGGGAGCAAACAGG